UACGUAGGGUGCGAGCGUUAAUCGGAAUUACUGGGCGUAAAGCGUGCGCAGGCGGUUUUGUAAGCCAGAUGUGAAAGCCCCGGGCUUAACCUGGGAAUGGCAUUUGGGACUGCAAGGCUUGAGUGCGGCAGAGGAGACUGGAAUUCCCGGUGUAGCAGUGAAAUGCGUAGAUAUCGUAAGGAAGACCAGUGGCGAAGGCGAGUCUCUGGACAGUUACUGACGCUGAGGCACGAAGGCCAGGGGAGCAAACGGG
rnacentral:rRNA from 1 species